GAGUAACACGUGAGUAACCUGCCCCCCUCUUCGGGAUAACCUCGGGAAAUCGGGGCUAAUACCGGAUAUGACUUCGCACCGCAUGGUGUGUUGUGGAAAGUUUUUCGGUGGGGGAUGGACUCGCGGCCUAUCAGUUUGUUGGUGAGGUAAUGGCUCACCAAGGCGAUGACGGGUAGCCGGCCUGAGAGGGCGACCGGCCACACUGGGACUGAGACACGGCCCAGACUCCUACGGGAGGCAGCAGUGGGGAAUAUUGCACAAUGGGCGGAAGCCUGAUGCAGCGACGCCGCGUGGGGGAUGACGGCCUUCGGGUUGUAAACCUCUUUCAGCAGGGAAGAAGCGAGAGUGACGGUACCUGCAGAAGAAGCGCCGGCUAACUACGUGCCAGCAGCCGCGGUAAUACGUAGGGCGCAAGCGUUGUCCGGAAUUAUUGGGCGUAAAGAGCUUGUAGGUGGCUUGUCGCGUCUGCCGUGAAAACCCGAGGCUCAACCUCGGGCGUGCGGUGGGUACGGGCAGGCUAGAGUGUGGUAGGGGAGACUGGAACUCCUGGUGUAGCGGUGAUAUGCGCAGAUAUCAGGAAGAACACCGAUGGCGAAGGCAGGUCUCUGGGCCAUUACUGACACUGAGAAGCGAAAGCAUGGGGAGCGAACAGGAUUAGAUACCCUGGUAGUCCAUGCCGUAAACGUUGGGCACUAGGUGUGGGGAACAUUCCACGUUUUCCGCGCCG
rnacentral:rRNA from 1 species